rnacentral:rRNA from 1 species
AGCAGCCGCGGUAAUUCCAGCUCCAAUAGCGUAUAUUAAAGUUGUUGCAGUUAAAAAGCUCGUAGUUGAAUUUCGGGAUCAAUAUGUUGGUCGUGCCUUGGUACGUACUGGCAUUAUCGAUUCCUACCUUCUGAAGAACCUCGAUGUCAUUAAUUUGGUGUCUUGGGGAAUCAGGACUGUUACUUUGAAAAAAUUAGAGUGUUUAAAGCAGGCUCGCGCUUGAAUACAUUAGCAUGGAAUAAUGAAAUAGGACGUUUGAUUCUAUUUUGUUGGUUUCUAGGAUCGACGUAAUGAUUAAUAGGGAUAGUUGGGGGCAUUAGUAUUCAAUUGUCAGAGGUGAAAUUCUUGGAUUUAUUGAAGACUAACUACUGCGAAAGCAUUUGCCAAGGAUGUUUUCAUUAAUCAAGAACGAAAGUUAGGGGAUCGAAGACGAUCAGAUACCGUCGUAGUCUUAACCAUAAACUAUGCCGACUAGGGAUCGGAUGAUGUUAAUUUUUUAAUGACUCA